rnacentral:sRNA from 1 species
AUUUCAAAAUGAAAGAUUGAGAAUGUUCUUCUGAGUUUUUUCAAACACUCUUUAUAUUUUUUUUAUCAAAUUGACAAGUGAAUAAUAAUAAAAUCAUAGGAAAUGUCAAAUCUUCUUACAAAAAUUCAUCUCUUAAAACCAAAAGAAAAAGAAAACUUUCACAGUUUAAAUGAUCAAUCAAAUCACUUACACGUUGAUAAUGUCAAAGGUUUUGGAAAUGAUUCAUAUUUUCUUUCUCUUCGUUCUCUCACUUUUUUUUUUCUCUUUCUUUGGUUUUGCUUUCUCUCUCUUUCGUCUAGUCUUCACAUACAUAUAGCUCCGAAUGGAGAAAGCGUAUCAGGCGGAGCAGAUUUAGCGUAUCAAGUAGAACAAAAGCGGAUCAAGUAGAUCUAACUGUACAAGUGCGGAUCAAGUGGUUCAAACACAAGUGGCUCCGAAUGGAGAAAGCCUCUUUCGUGGAGAGGAUCAAGCAUUUCAAGUAGAACUAAAGCGGAUCAAACGGAUCAGGCGUUUCAAGCACAACUAAAGCGGAUCAAGCGGUUGGAACGCUUCAAAAUAUGUAUUGAAUGGUAAAAACGGAUCAACCGAUGCAGAUGAAAUAAUUUAUUGUAAAAAUAUUAAUUUAAAAUAAAUU